AUUGAACGCUGGCGGCAGGCCUAACACAUGCAAGUCGAGCGGUAACACAGGGAGCUUGCUCCUGGGUGACGAGCGGCGGCCGGGUGAGUAAUGUCUGGGAAACUGCCUGAUGGAGGGGGAUAACUACUGGAAACGGUAGCUAAUACCGCAUAACGUCGCAAGACCAAAGAGGGGGAACUUCGGGCCUCUGCCCAUCAGAUGUGCCCAGAUGGGAGUAGGUAGUAGGUGGGGUAACGGCUCACCUAGGCGACGAUCCCUAGGUGGUCUGAGAGGAUGACCAGCCACACUGGAACUGAGGCACGGUCCAGACUCCUACGGGAGGCAGCAGUGGGGAAUAUUGCACAAUGGGCGCAAGCCUGAUGCAGCCAUGCCGCGUGUAUGAAGAAGGCCUUCGGGUUGUAAAGUACUUUCAGCGGGGAGGAAGGUGUUGAGGUUAAUAACCUCAGCAAUUGACGUUACCCGCAGAAGAAGCACCGGCUAACUCCGUGCCAGCCGCCGCGGUAACAC
rnacentral:rRNA from 1 species